CCUGACGACCAUAGCAAGGUGGUCCCACUCCUUCCCAUCCCGAACAGGACAGUGAAACGCCUUAGCGCCGAUGAUAGUGUGCAU
rnacentral:rRNA from 1 species